UUGGUGAAAGCCGUGUCCCUUAAAAUUUCGUCUUGUUUCACGUGUUCGUUUGUAUGGCCUCACCGCUUGCAACUACUUCUUCACGGAAGCUUCGCGUCGAGAUCUGAUCUGACCCUGUCCGGGUUUAUUCUGCCAUAACAAACAUUUUACGUCGUUACGACAUUAUGCUUAACGUAAAUAACACUUUAAUGGCAGAAAGCUAUUGUUUCGCUUCAGAAUAUAUUUUACAAGGCGUAUAAACCACUUGUUUAACUUUUAUGGUAUCAUUUUGUCAGUUUUUGUGCCUGGCAGUCGUGAAAGUCGUUCACUGAAAAUCGUUUAGCAGCUUGUUUAUUAUGUUUAUUAACAUGUUGCAUCCCACAAUGGGUUUGACUGGGCCAACAUGAGGACACCGUUUUAAUUUUGGGGAGUCCUGUGAGAUACAGCAGCAGGUGCCACAGUCGGCACCAAAAGUCCACCAUCCUUAAACUGAUCGAUCCUUCCGCUUUCUCCCUCAUCUCUGCAGGUAUACAGGCUUCAACAAGAGCGCCUAAACCUGAUUAUGUUCUUUGACGCAAGUGAUUGUGACACACACACAAUGAACCUCUUUCACGUCUGUGAAAAAAUGUGAUUGUAAGCUCUGUAACUGAAGAGAUAGUCCAAUUUCUCAGUUGCAUAAAUUAUAUUCAAUAAUAAUAAUAAUUUAUAUAUGUGUGUGUGUGUGUGUAUAUAUAUUAUUAUUAUUAUUUUGAAUAUUAUCCUGAACCCAUGAAAUCACUUUAAAAGUGUUGCCACCCAAAAGUUGUCAUCAUUUACUCAUCUCUGUGUCCUUCCAAACCUGUAUGACUUCCUUUACUGUGGAACACAAAAUAAUUUUUUUUUUUUUUAAAUGUUGGAAACAUGUCUAUAAGAUCUCAAACAUUUAUUUUGUUAAAUAUUCUUUUAAAAAUUAAAAGAAGUUCACAAAAAAAUAGUUGAUUCUGGGUUUAAUAAAUGAAGACAUACACGUUACAUAUGCAGCAAAGUGACAUACUGGCACAUACUGUAUCUCUACCCUCCCACCUGCCCUAUGCUUUUGAGGACAACAGGUUCUAAAUUAGAGUCAUUUUAUCAUGCUACAGAUAUAAUUUUGGCAAAAAAAAAAAAAAAGAA